GUGCCUUUGGCAGGGGACUGCCCACUAGCAGCUUCUUCACCCUACAUGGAGAGGGAGGGCUUUUGACCCCACUUCCAGAUGUGGAAACUGAGGCUCAGAGAGAUGAAGCCACUUGUCCAAAGUCACACCAGACAUUGCUUCAAAGAACAGGCUCUGAAAGAGAGCCCAAGACACCCUCCCCGGAGAGCCAUUUCCGACUGCGCCGCUGCAGAGCCCCAGGGCUGCGGGCUGGGCCGGGCCUGCUCUGAUUGCCUGUUUUUCCCAUUAAUCCUGCGACACCCUCAUUUAGAUGCGAUCUGCAUACAUUUGCAUAUUGAGUUCCAGUGUCCCCUCCCUUUCCCUCACCCCUGUGGC